UGAAAUGGACUUUUAUAAACACUAAUAAAC
rnacentral:piRNA from 1 species